AUACGGAGGAUGCGAGCGUUAUCCGGAUUUAUUGGGUUUAAAGGGAGCGUAGGUGGGAUAUUAAGUCAGCUGUGAAAGUUUGGGGCUCAACCUUAAAAUUGCAGUUGAUACUGGUUUCCUUGAGUACGGUACAGGUGGGCGGAAUUCGUGGUGUAGCGGUGAAAUGCUUAGAUAUCUCGAAGAACUCCGAUUGCGAAGGCAGCUCACCGGGCCGGAACUGACACUGAUGCUCGAAAGUGCGGGUAUCAAACAGGAUUAGAUACCCUGGUAGUCCACACGGUAAACGAUGAAUACUCGCUGUUUGCGAUAUACGGCAAGCGGCCAAGCGAAAGCGUUAAGUAUUCCACCUGGGGAGUACGCCGGCAACGGUGAAACUUAAAGGAAUUGACGGGG
rnacentral:rRNA from 1 species